UGGGCACUAGAAGACACCAAUUAAAACUA
rnacentral:sRNA from 1 species